UACGGGGGGUGCGAGCGUUGUCCGGAAUCACUGGGCGUAAAGGGCGCGUAGGUGGUUUGAUAAGGGUGUGGUGAAAGUCCGGGGCUCAACCCCGGAUCUGCCGUGCCGACUGUCAAACUCGAGGACUGUAGAGGCAGACGGAAUUCCGGGUGUAGCGGUGGAAUGCGUAGAGAUCCGGAGGAAGACCGGUGGCGAAGGCGGUCUGCUGGGC
rnacentral:rRNA from 1 species